AUAAAUAGUGACAUAAUGAUGGUGUUCCAAGCAAAUCAUGCUCGAGUUCAAGUUUUUGGUGCCGUAGCUUGUCUCUCCUGUCCUAUUAGGGUCCUGUUUGCAUCCAACCAGUUGUUUCCAAGAGCUAGGCUUUGAUACUUAAAAUAAGAACCACUAUGGGUAUUUCUAGUUAUAGUUUCUUUCUAGUUUUAUUUGUUGUCAUAAUCCCAACCCUAGAAGCUCAUAUCGCUGAGUAUGACGAGUACUGGACGGCACGAGAAUUGGAAGCCAUUGAGAACCUGGACAAGGCCUAUCACUCCAACCCGGAGGAGGUGGUCCGCCAUUACAAUGACCACUUCUCUAGGACCUAUGCUCGAGUUUUAUAUCACCAAAAGGGUGUUGGCAGAAUCAAAAAAGGGUCCCUGUGAGGUUACCAACCACGUUGACAGUUGCUGGCGAUGUGAUCCUGACUGGGAAAAGAAUAGGAAGAAGUUGGCCAACUGUGCCCCUGGAUUUGCUCGAGGUACUACCGGUGGAAAGGAUGGUGAGUUUUACGUGGUCACUGACCCUAUUGAUAAUGCUGCUGACCCCAAGCCUGGAACUCUAGCGUCAUGCUGUCACCCAAACUGGACCACUUUGGAUCACUUUCAAAGGGUCCAUGACCAUCAAGCUGCAACAGGAGCUCAUUGUUACAAGUGAUAAGACCAUUGAUGCGAGGGGAGCCAAUGUGGAAAUUUGUAAUGGUGCUGGUAUCACUAUCCAAUUUGUGAAGAAUAUCAUUAUCCAUGGCCUUCAAAUCCAUCACAUUAUUCCCGCCAAGGGUGGCAAGAUCAAGGAUGGUGAAAACCACCAUGGGUUACGGGGUGACAGCGACGGAGACGGGGUGUCUAUUUUCGGAUCAACCAAUGUUUGGCUUGACCAUCUUGCCCUUCACCAUUGCGCCGAUGGCCUUAUCGAUGUCGUUCAAGGAUCAACUGCCGUUACCGUUUCUAACUGCCACUUCACUGACCAUAACGAUGUAAGCUUACUUUCCUUUCAAUUUUAAACUACGCACGAUGAGGAAUUUUUUGAUUGACAAAAAUAAUACAAUUGAAAUGAAAAAAAUUACAGGUGAUGUUGUUUGGAGCAAGCGACUCUUACAGUGCCGACAAGAAGAUGCAGGUCACUGUUGCUUUGAACCACUUCGGUAAAGGAUUGGUAGAGAGGAUGCCUAGGUGCCGAUUUGGUUUUAUUCAUGUCGUCAACAAUGACUACAAUCACUGGUUCCUGUAUGCCAUUGGCGGCACCAGCAAUCCUACAAUUAUCAGCCAGGGAAAUAGGUAUUCAGCGCCAGGCUUUGGGGCUAAAGAGGUGACCUGUAGGGGCCUCUUAAAGCCGGGACAGUGGAAGAAUUGGAAUUGGGUAUCACAAGGUGACCACUUCGAGAACGGUGCCUUUUUUACACCAUCAGGUAAUCCAAGUGCCAGCAAGCAAUUUGGCGCCGACAAAAUGAUGCCUUUCAAACCUGGUCAAAUGGUCCCCGAACUCACAAAGUAUGCCGGACCACUAAGCUGCACAAUCGGCCGUCCUUGCUAAAAACUGCUAUUUUUAUAUGCAUAUGUCCUCCCUUUUUUACGUACAAUAUUUGAUACCCAAGCAUAGUACAUUUGGUAUCUUUUCUGAAUGAUUGUCAGUAAAUUUUCUUUUAUGCGAUCCCACCCUAUUCUCUUCUUCUCUCCUAGUAAUAGAUAAUCACAAUUUUUUUCUCACGCGUAACUGUGGAAAUCAUAAAUUUAGAACAUAAAUGUUUGUUUGAAAAUAACAUAUAAUGAAUAAUGAAAUGUGUGGUUUGAAAUAAAGUAACAAUAAUAACAUUGAUUAUCAUGGUGUUUUCAUCAAUCUUUAGUUGGUGUAGGCACCAAAUCAAUCAAAUACAUUAAUCUAACAUAUCUAGUAUAUAUAUUCUAUUGCAAGGUUUUUUUGGAUUUGUGGAAACCUUCAGUUUGAAGUGAGUUUAGAAUUCGCUAUGCGUCACCAAUCAUUUCAUGACAGGAAUGGAAAUUAAUGAAAUAAAAUAUUUGGUUAGAACUAAAGUUGCGUAAUUAAUUAAAAAUUUUAACAAUCGCGAGACCAUUUAGUUUCUAUAAAUUUUGUAUGUCCCAACUUACAUAUUCCGGGUAAUUAGUCAUUUGUCAAAACACAUCAAAGUGAGAAAAGAAAGAAACAAGAAUCAUGAGUCAUUCCUCAUAUAGUAAUAUUCGUAAUAAUGCAAUCGCAACGGUGAUUCCACCAGGUGUUCUUGCAUCACCAAGAACUAAAUUGAUUUUCUAGAACAAGAUUUAUAAUGGAGACAUCAAGUAUGUAUUUAAGGUUGUGUAUGAGUUAGAUUUCUUUAAGACUCAGCGGAGGGUCGGGGAGCCGCCCAAGACAUUGCUUUUACCAGUAUAAAGUCAACUACCGAAGCAAAAAAACUUGCAAAGCUGAGAGGACAUAGGAUUAAUAAUUCAGCACCUAUGUUUUGAGUUGCUCCAUAGUUGACGCAGUGGUAUUAGCUUAGUAAGGGCUUAAAUAAUCGUAUAGAUAUUUAUAAUUGAUGGACAUAAUAAAGUAUGCUUAACAAAUUUGAAAAUCAAAAAAGAAAAUCAAUGUCUUGGUACAGUGUUAAAUUUAUGGUUUUACUAGCAUAAUAAUUGAUUUGGGUUCAAAUCCCUUCGACAACAUAUUUUAUAUUCUUUUAAAACAAUAAGAAUUAAAAUAACCUUCAAUAAUAUAACUUAUUUUAAACAUGAAAGGAAUGUAUUUCUAAUUUCCGUAAUAGAGUCGAUGCUCGAUCGACUCAUGUCACCGAAUUAGUUAAGGACUUCAAUAAAUGUUAGUAUAGAUUGUAACAAUAAUGAAAUAUGCAUUAAAAAUCACCACAGAGGUUCAAUAUACACUCGAAUCUCUGUACUCUUUUAGACUUUUAAAAUUUGAAUACAUAGUACUUUUAUAUUCAAAGGUCCAAGUAAUAAAUUAGAGUCCAAUUCAUAUCACAUAUUCAGAUUUGAGAGAAAUAAAUAAACUCUCUUACCAAUUGAACUUUUAUUUUUUAAAUCAACCAAGUGCAAGGAUUAAAAUCUUGAAAUUGAAAGGAGAGAGGUUUCAUCUGGAAAUGUUGAAGAGUAAAGGGAUUGGAGGAUAAUUAGAGAUUUUUUUUUGUAAUUUCUGAAAUUAGACGUUUAGAAUGGUCUAAAAAAUACAAGAAAACCUCAACUGUUUCUAUCCAAAAAAAGGAAACAAAAUCCAACCAUUUUUUACGCACUUGAAACACUAGUAGCCAAGUGUGUUUUGUAAAUUUGGAAAUUUUCAUGAAUCCCGGUGUACUAUAAAUAGUGACAUAAUGAUGGUGUUCCAAGCAAAUCAUGCUCGAGUUCAAGUUUUUGGUGCCGUAGCUUGUCUCUCCUGUCCUAUUAGGGUCCUGUUUGCAUCCAACCAGUUGUUUCCAAGAGCUAGGCUUUGAUACUUAAAAUAAGAACCACUAUGGGUAUUUCUAGUUAUAGUUUCUUUCUGUUUUUAUUUGUUGUCAUAAUCCCAACCCUAGAAGCUCAUAUCGCUGAGUAUGACGAGUACUGGACGGCACGAGAAUUGGAAGCCAUUGAGAACCUGGACAAGGCCUAUCACUCCAACCCGGAGGAGGUGGUCCGCCAUUACAAUGACCACUUCUCUAGGACCAUGCUCGAGUUUUAUAUCACCAAAAGGGUGUUGGCAGAAUCAAAAAAGGGUCCCUGUGAGGUUACCAACCACGUUGACAGUUGCUGGCGAUGUGAUCCUGACUGGGAAAAGAAUAGGAAGAAGUUGGCCAACUGUGCCCCUGGAUUUGCUCGAGGUACUACCGGUGGAAAGGAUGGUGAGUUUUACGUGGUCACUGACCCUAUUGAUAAUGCUGCUGACCCCAAGCCUGGAACUCUGCGUCAUGCUGUCACCCAAACUGGACCACUUUGGAUCACUUUCAAAGGGUCCAUGACCAUCAAGCUGCAACAGGAGCUCAUUGUUACAAGUGAUAAGACCAUUGAUGCGAGGGGAGCCAAUGUGGAAAUUUGUAAUGGUGCUGGUAUCACUAUCCAAUUUGUGAAGAAUAUCAUUAUCCAUGGCCUUCAAAUCCAUCACAUUAUUCCCGCCAAGGGUGGCAAGAUCAAGGAUGGUGAAAACCACCAUGGGUUACGGGGUGACAGCGACGGAGACGGGGUGUCUAUUUUUGGAUCAACCAAUGUUUGGCUUGACCAUCUUGCCCUUCACCAUUGCGCCGAUGGCCUUAUCGAUGUCGUUCAAGGAUCAACUGCCGUUACCGUUUCUAACUGCCACUUCACUGACCAUAACGAUGUAAGCUUACUUUCCUUUCAAUUUUAAACUACGCACGAUGAGGAAUUUUUUGAUUGACAAAAAUAAUACAAUUGAAAUGAAAAAAAUUACAGGUGAUGUUGUUUGGAGCAAGCGACUCUUACAGUGCCGACAAGAAGAUGCAGGUCACUGUUGCUUUGAACCACUUCGGUAAAGGAUUGGUAGAGAGGAUGCCUAGGUGCCGAUUUGGUUUUAUUCAUGUCGUCAACAAUGACUACAAUCACUGGUUCCUGUAUGCCAUUGGCGGCACCAGCAACCCUACAAUUAUCAGCCAGGGAAAUAGGUAUUCAGCGCCAGGCUUUGGGGCUAAAGAGGUGACCUGUAGGGGCCUCUUAAAGCCGGGACAGUGGAAGAAUUGGAAUUGGGUAUCACAAGGUGACCACUUCGAGAACGGUGCCUUCUUUACACCAUCAGGUAAUCCAAGUGCCAGCAAGCAAUUUGGCGCCGACAAAAUGAUGCCUUUCAAACCUGGUCAAAUGGUCCCCGAGCUCACAAAGUAUGCCGGACCACUAAGCUGCACAAUCGGCCGUCCUUGCUAAAAAUGCUAUUUUUAUAUGCAUUUGUCCUCCCUUUUUUACGUACAAUAUUUGAUACCCAAGCAUAGUACAUUUGGUAUCUUUUCUGAAUGAUUGUCAGUAAAUUUUCUUUUAUGCGAUCCCACCCUAUUCUCUUCUUCUCUCCUAGUAAUAGAUAAUCACAAUUUUUUUCUCACGCGUGACUGUGGAAAUCAUAAAUUUAGAACAUAAAUGUUUGUUUGAAAAUAACAUAUAAUGAAUAAUGAAAUGUGUGGUUUGAAAUAAAGUAACAAUAAUAACAUUGAUUAUCAUGGUGUUUUCAUCAAUCUUUAGUUGGUGUAGGCACCAAAUCAAUCAAAUACAUUAAUCUAACAUAUCUAGUAUAUAUAUUCUAUUGCAAGGUUUUUUUGGAUUUGUGGAAACCUUCAGUUUGAAGUGAGUUUAGAAUUCGCUAUGCGUCACCAAUCAUUUCAUGACAGCAAUGGAAAUUAAUGAAAUAAAAUAUUUGGUUAGAACUAAAGUUGCGUAAUUAAUUAAAAAUUUUAACAAUCGCGAGACCAUUUAGUUUCUAUAAAUUUUGCAUGUCCCAACUUACAUAUUCGGGUAAUUAGUCAUUUGUCAAAACACAUCAAAGUGAGAAAAGAAAGAAACAAGAAUCAUGGUCAUUCCUCAUAUAGUUAUAUUCGUAAUAAUGCAAUCGCAACGGUGAUUCCACCAGGUGUUCUUGCAUCACCAAGAACUAAAUUGAUUUUCUAGAACAAGAUUUAUAAUGGAGACAUCAAGUAUGUAUUUAAGGUGGUGUAUGAGUUAGAUUUCUUUAAGACUCAGCGGGGGUCGGGGAGCCGCCCAAGACAUUGCUUUUACCAGUAUAAAGUCAAAUACCGAAGCAAAAAAACUUGCAAAGCCGAGAGGACAUAGGAUUAAUAAUUCAGCACCUAUGUUUUGAGUUGCUCCAUAGUUGACGCGUGGUAUCAGCUUAGUAAGGGCUUAAAUAAUCGUAUAGAUAUUUAUAAUUGAUGGACAUAAUAAAGUAUGCUUAACAAAUUUGAAAAUCAAAAAAGAAAAUCAAUGUCUUGGUACAGUGUUAAAUUUAUGGUUUUACUAGCAUAAUAAUUGAUUUGGGUUCAAAUCCCUUCGACAACAUAUUUUAUAUUCUUUUAAAACAAUAAGAAUUAAAAUAACCUUCAAUAAUAUAACUUAUUUUAAACAUGACAGGAAUGUAUUUCUAAUUUCCGUAAUAGAGUCGAUGCUCGAUCGACUCAUGUCACCGAAUUAGUUAAGGACUUCAAUAAAUGUUAGUAUAGAUUGUAACAAUAAUGAAAUAUGCAUUAAAAAUCACCACAGAGGUUCAAUAUACACUCGAAUCUCUGUACUCUUUUAGACUUUUAAAAUUUGAAUACAUAGUGCUUUUAUAUUCAAAGGUCCAAGUAAUAAAUUAGAGUCCAAUUCAUAUCACAUAUUCAGAUUUGAGAGAAAUAAAUAAACUCUCUUACCAAUUGAACUUUUAUUUUUUAAAUCAACCAAGUGCAAGGAUUAAAAUCUUGAAAUUGAAAGGAGAGAGGUUUCAUCUGGAAAUGUUGAAGAGUAAAGGGAUUGGAGGAUAAUUAGAGAUUUUUUUUGUAAUUUCUGAAAUUAGACGUUUAGAAUGGUCUAAAAAAUGCAAGAAAACCUCAACUGUUUCUAUCCAAAAAAAAGGAAACAAAAUCCAACCAUUUUUUACGCACUUGAAACACUAGUAGCCAAGUGUGUUUUGUAAAUUUGGAAAUUUUCAUGAAUCCCGGUGUACUAUAAAUAGUGACAUAAUGAUGGUGUUCCAAGCAAAUCAUGCUCGAGUUCAAGUUUUUGGUGCCGUAGCUUGUCUCUCCUGUCCUAUUAGGGUCCUGUUUGCAUCCAACCAGUUGUUUCCAAGAGCUAGGCUUUGAUACUUAAAAUAAGAACCACUAUGGGUAUUUCUAGUUAUAGUUUCUUUCUGUUUUUAUUUGUUGUCAUAAUCCCAACCCUAGAAGCUCAUAUCGCUGAGUAUGACGAGUACUGGACGGCACGAGAAUUGGAAGCCAUUGAGAACCUGGACAAGGCCUAUCACUCCAACCCGGAGGAGGUGGUCCGCCAUUACAAUGACCACUUCUCUAGGACCAUGCUCGAGUUUUAUAUCACCAAAAGGGUGUUGGCAGAAUCAAAAAAGGGUCCCUGUGAGGUUACCAACCACGUUGACAGUUGCUGGCGAUGUGAUCCUGACUGGGAAAAGAAUAGGAAGAAGUUGGCCAACUGUGCCCCUGGAUUUGCUCGAGGUACUACCGGUGGAAAGGAUGGUGAGUUUUACGUGGUCACUGACCCUAUUGAUAAUGCUGCUGACCCCAAGCCUGGAACUCUGCGUCAUGCUGUCACCCAAACUGGACCACUUUGGAUCACUUUCAAAGGGUCCAUGACCAUCAAGCUGCAACAGGAGCUCAUUGUUACAAGUGAUAAGACCAUUGAUGCGAGGGGAGCCAAUGUGGAAAUUUGUA
rnacentral:lncRNA from 1 species